ensembl:lncRNA
UCUUUCUGGAGAUCACUCCUUUGUGGAGCUUUUCAUUGUGAGCCUAAAUCUUUGGAUACAGUGGUGUUUUUAAACAACGGCAACAAAAAGAAAUGGGAAGGGGAAGCAUUAGGAGUUCUGGGCAAAUUGUAUGGCUUUCUGUGUGUGUGGGAACGAUUCGGAAAUUUUAAUCUCUACUACCAGUUUGUUGCUGCUCUGGGAGGAAGAAACAACAACAAGAAAGUGCCUAAUUCCCCCAGAUCCUCAUGGAAGAGCUGUGUGCUGCUAUAGGAGCAGGACUGGGAAGUGACGUCUCUUCAUGGGCUGGAAGCUAUGCAAGAGAGGCGGCCAGAACACAGUUGUUUCCCCCAGUGAUGGAAAUCCUGUCCAGAAAUCCAUCCAAAGGCAUCUUCUCUUCACCACAGACCUGUAACCUGGAGGCCACAUUGGUCACUGGCAGAUGUGGGGAUGAAGGCUGUUUUAGGAGGUGUGCUGAGGUUUGUGCUGGCCACAUCACUCAGCUCAUAUUUAAUUGAGACCCUCGUGUUUUCUUCCACUUAGUUAUUUAAUUGGUGUGUAAAUAGCAAUUUUAAGGUAGCCAUAAAUAUUAACAGCAGCUCUUCUUUGAAAUAACUAUCUCCCAUUCAGCCCUUUCUUCUUUAAUAAUGGCCAUCAGUCUUCUAAGAGGUAAAAAGGACAGACUGACCGUGAACAGAUCCAGACACUAAAUGCUUCUUGCUUUGGUACUCUCCUCACCACACUACACACUCCUCUUGUAAGCUUAGCUUGCUCUCUCCUUAGUUUUCUCACUUCACUUUACUGUUUUUCUUCCUCUCCCUUCGCUUUCUUGUCACUUUUAGAAAAGCUGGUUCCCCCUUUUCUGUGUAGGUGAGACUAGCUUCAGUAAGAGAGUGUGUGGGUAAAACCACCUUCUGAAUGCACACACACACCUGUGGUGCAUUUAGAUGUGAGUGGAAGGAAGAUAAUUAUAAUUGGAGUUUUAUAGCUUCAGCUGGCUUCACCCUCAUCACUUCUCACCACAGGUAGGUGAGGCAGUAGGUGUUGUUGGGUACUGCUACUGUCCCUCCCUGUCCUUCUUCCUUGUCUCCAGACAAGCCACCUGUAACAUGUUUUUCAGUUCCACGCUCUUCCCACUAGCUCCCAUGCACUGCUAGUGGGUUUAUUACUGUGUGUCCUUCCUGUGGCAGGGAGGAGUGAAGCCCUGGGGGGCUUUGCAUCACUGGUGGAGGGUGUUCACACCACAAUGCAGCACCCUGGUUUUGUUUGCUGUGGCCGUGCCUUGGGGAUGUGGGUCCUUUCCCUGGGAAGCAGCCAGUGGGACACUGCAGCCCUGGGAACAUGGUGGGACUGGAACUGGGUCUGAUGAUAUUUCUCCUCCUUUGUUUUCACUCAAGUGUGGAACUGGGUCUGCUGCAGAUCUGUGUGCUUUGUGUCAUUUGCUUUGGGGGGGGGAUCUUUGCUGGGGAUCUGGCCCUUUUUCACUUUAUGACAAACAAGCAGUGCAACAUUCCUGAAGGAUGACUGAAAUGAUGAGGCAAUUAAUUAUAAAGCUGACUUAACUGUGUGCUCAGGUUUAAACAAGUUUACAUCACUAACAUUCCCUGGGUAAUUGUUUUUCAAGGAGCGAGUUUUCUGCAGUGAUGGAAAACAAGGGAAAGGGGCAGGGGAAGCUGGAAGCGUGGUCACCUCUACAGGGAAACCUCAUGGCUUGGGGUUUUAUGCUGGUGGUUGCACCAUGAACUUGGAGAUAGUUCUUAGAAGGAUGGGACCAACAGGGUUUGAAAGCCAGGGUGACUCCCUUAGACAUCCCAGUAGACCCAUUAUCAAACAGGUAACUGAGAGUAGAUGCAAAGGUGCUCUAGGAAAUUAGCUUCUCAUCAACGGUAUCUAGUGUGAAAGACCAGGUGGUUCUCUAGAGCUCUGUGGAGUCAAAGACCUUGCUACUACCUAUCAUGGCUGGAGGCAUGUAAACAAACAGACACGUUCAGGUGUUCCUUGCCUGUGGCAGCCACACCUUCCAAUAUUGCUGAAUUUUUGUAAAAUUCAGGCUGAAAUGGAUGUGUGGAAGAGUCAGUUAAUAGUGAUCUCUUAAAAAAAAGGAGCAGGAGCAAAAUGUAUGUGAUGCAUAAAAGGCACUGGAAAGCACAGGAUGCAUGGGAAAGGACACCUUUUGAAUUAUUUAUGUAAUUGUAUGUCUUUGUAACCAGUGCCUUCUACUGCUGCUGUCCUUUGGACUUUAUUACCCCUGUUGGAAGCUGGUUUCUGUGGAGCCAUUACAUCAGUGAGUAAGUCCUAAUCAGGCCGCAAAAGAUGAUUACUUCACAGAGAGCUGUGUGUCUGUGUCUGAGCAGAGUCAGCCACCUGCAACAAAAAGGAAAAAAAAAAUUACUUUGUGCUGAUGUCUGCCCUUAGAGGUUUGAAGACAAGGUGGAAUAAAGAGAGUUGUUCAGGUAUUCAACUGCAGCAAAGAGCAAGUUAGGUCCAUGUCACUCAUUAAGGUUAGAAUGCAUUGUAAUUCUGAUUUCUGGCUCUGUUUUCAUUUAUACCCUAUCUGUAGAUGUAUCUAAUAAACACUAGUGGAAGCUAAUUUACUUUCUAAAACCUAUUAAUUUAGUCAUACUCAUUAUAUAAGUCAACCAAUAAAUAGCAAGUAGAGCAAGCAGAGUGAAACAAAAUGAACUAACCAAUCUAACUGAAACAACGACAAGCAUUGCAAUCUAUAAUGAAAAAUCACACGUUAACACUUAAACAGUGCUUGCCUUUUCAUCCAAUAAAUAUGCAAUGCACACCGGUCUAUUAAGUUCCUCAUACUUGGUGUGACGAAAGUGUGGGAAGAGUAAAAACAAGUCCUUAUGGGCAGGAUUCAACCACUCGUGGAAAGACUGGAUAAAAUCUUCCCUAUUCUUUCAGUCCUAUGGAAGGUGAAAUGAGAAGAGCCACCGGGUAGAAAAUGUGUGUUUCUCCAAGGCAAAAAGUGAUGGCAGAGCCAUGAGACCUGGGAAUGAGUCCAGACCCCGUGUGUCAACACUUUGAUAUGGAGGGUGUUGAGUUUCUGCUGUGGUCCACAAGACUGGAAGAACGGCUGUUCCAAAGCUUUGCAAUCUGCCUGUGUGAUGAAACAUCUCAAGUGUUUUCAAACACAGAAACAAACUGGGAGAUUUCACCCAAGAGAAAGGAUAACCUCUUGCUUUGGGCGCACAGUGAGACAUUUGCAAAUAUGCGUUUUGCUCCUUUAUUCAUAGACUCUCUUCCUAAUGAGAAAUAUCGCUAGGGUGCUGCUGCUUGUAGAGCCUAAAUGUAGCUGCAGAGCUAGUGCUUCUGGUGGUUUUGCUGCUCUGGAGAAGCAAGCAGAGCCAGGAGCUGGCAUUGGGUCUCUUGGUUUAUUGGUAGUAAGAACACAAGUCUGAUAAGACUGGAGACCUUGUCCUGUUUUCUAGAAACUCACACAUGGUGGAACGCUUUGCAUGAAAGAAUGAUGAGAGUUCAUAGUUAACACAAAUGUAUGUUUAAAGAUCAUACCUCUCCAAUGCACCAGACUGCUGUUUUCUGCUGCUCUCUUUGUUCCUGCUUCCCAAAGUGGUGGUGACCCCUUUGGCUUCUGCAGGUGUCUCCACAUCCUUCAGCAGCUUCAUGGGCAUGUGAAAGGCACUGUCCGUU